ensembl:lncRNA
GACUUAGGCCCAGGCAACACUUCUCAGCCGUGACUGCUUGUUGGAAUCAUCUGGGGAGCUUGCAAUACCGAAGCCUGGGUCCCGCCUUCAGGGAUUCUGAUUUCAUUGGUGUGGGGAUACAUCCUGGGCAUCAGGCUCUUAAAACUUGCCAGGUGUGAGGGAUAUGGGAAGGUAAUAAAAGCCAUUAUAGUCAGAGCCCUUCCUAGCUCUUUCGGAUUCUGAAGUUUGGAGUUUGGCUCCACCUUGCUCUGUGUGAGACAGCGUCUAAUCUCAGAGAGAUGGCUCCCUGGGAGGCUGGCUGCAUUUAGAACUUCAUCCAAGCUGCUUUCUGGGAUAAAAUGAAGUCUGUGAAGCAUCACCUGGGAUUUUAUUCCAAGUUUUACAUUCGUUUGCAGAAUGAAGAUUUGUUUCGCACACUGCUGGGGACCCACUGAGGUGCUUCAGUUGUGCCUUUGCGACCCUACGUACUACAGCCUGCCAGGCUCCUCUGAUCAUGGGAUUCUCCAGACAAGAAUACUGGCGUGGGUUGCUGUUUCCUACUCCAGGGGAUCUUCCCAACCCAGGGAUCGAACCCGCAGCCUCUUACAUCUCCUGUGUUGGCGGGUGAACUCUUUACCGCUUGCGCCACCUGGGAAGUCUGAGCCACUAUUACUGUUUUGGUUUAUACCUCUCAACACCUAUUUAGUACACUUGUAGUUGUGUCUUUCCAGUGGGUUUUUUUUUUUUAAGCUUAUAAACUUCCUCUCACCACAAAAAUGAGGUCUUCUAUCAAGCACUGUUUCUGGAGAACAACCUGUUCUACCAUCCUCUCCAUGUUGGCUUCAUAUGUAUCUUCCACAAAUGACUGCGUCUGUGAAGCUGUGUGAGAUGACUGCAAGCAGCCCCAGCAUGAAGCUCACCACCCUGGAAUUGUGCUCCUCAACGAGAGGAGUGGGAGGGGGUGUACCCCCUAGAAAGCAUCUUGGAAAUUUGUGGGGAUAGUUGGGGUUGUCACGGUGAUGGUGGGGAGCUACUGUUUGAAUUUCAUGCUAGACAUCCUACGGACCAUGGGGCACUCCUAUACAAAGAAGAGUUCUUAUGUUCUAUGCCAGUUUCUAAUGUCCCACUGGACAUUCAUGUAGGUAGAGAGCCUAUUUGUAAUGAACUGAGCCUAGACUUAACCCCGUUUUAUAUAUAAAGCCGUUUGCACAGUCAUCUUUAAUUGAGUAUACAUAACAUAAUGACAUAACUUUAGUGUCAGGCAUACAGUAUAAUGUUUCAAUACCUAUAUACAUUGUGAAACGGUCACCACAAUGUCUAAU